UCAAGCGAACAAGUGCAUGUGGUGGAUGCCUUGGCGAUCACAGGCGAUGAAGGACGCGGUAGCCUGCGAAAAGCUACGGGGAGCUGGCAAACAAGCUUUGAUCCGUAGAUGUCCGAAUGGGGAAACCCACUCCUUUUGGAGUAUCCAUGGCUGAAUACAUAGGCCAUGUGAAGCGAACGCGGUGAACUGAAACAUCUAAGUAACCGCAGGAAAAGAAAUCAACCGAGAUUCCCAAAGUAGUGGCGAGCGAAAUGGGAUGAGCCUUGCACUCUUUAUUUGUAUUGUUAGCCGAACGCUCUGGAAAGUGCGGCCAUAGCAGGUGAUAGCCCUGUAGGCGAAAACAGUAUGAAAGAACUAGGUGUGCGACAAGUAGGGCGGGACACGUGAAAUCCUGUCUGAAGAUGGGGGGACCAUCCUCCAAGGCUAAAUACUCGUGAUCGACCGAUAGUGAACCAGUACCGUGAGGGAAAGGCGAAAAGAACCCCGGGAGGGGAGUGAAAUAGAUCCUGAAACCGCAUGCAUACAAACAGUCGGAGCCUCGUAAGGGGUGACGGCGUACCUUUUGUAUAAUGGGUCAGCGACUUACGUUCAGUAGCAAGCUUAACCGUAUAGGGCAGGCGUAGCGAAAGCGAGUCCGAAUAGGGCGUUCAGUUGCUGGGCGUAGACCCGAAACCAGGUGAUCUAUCCAUGGCCAGGAUGAAGGUGCGGUAACACGUACUGGAGGUCCGAACCCACUAACGUUGAAAAGUUAGGGGAUGAGCUGUGGAUAGGGGUGAAAGGCUAAACAAACCUGGAAAUAGCUGGUUCUCUCCGAAAACUAUUUAGGUAGUGCCUCGUGUCUCACCUUCGGGGGUAGAGCACUGUCAUGGUUGGGGGGUCUAUUGCAGAUUACCCCGCCAUAGCAAACUCCGAAUACCGAAGAGUGCAAUCACGGGAGACAGACAUCGGGUGCUAACGUCCGGUGUCAAGAGGGAAACAACCCAGACCGCCAGCUAAGGUCCCCAAAUAUAGCUAAGUGGGAAACGAAGUGGGAAGGCUAAAACAGUCAGGAGGUUGGCUUAGAAGCAGCCACCCUUUAAAGAAAGCGUAAUAGCUCACUGAUCGAGUCGUCCUGCGCGGAAGAUGUAACGGGGCUAAGCUAUAUACCGAAGCUGCGGAUGCGAGCUUUGCUCGCAUGGUAGGAGAGCGUUCCGUAAGCCUGCGAAGGUGCCUUGUAAAGGGUGCUGGAGGUAUCGGAAGUGCGAAUGCUGACAUGAGUAGCGAUAAAGGGGGUGAAAGGCCCCCUCGCCGUAAGCCCAAGGUUUCCUACGCAACGUUCAUCGGCGUAGGGUGAGUCGGCCCCUAAGGCGAGGCAGAAAUGCGUAGCUGAUGGGAAGCAGGUCAAUAUUCCUGCACCAUUGUUAGAUGCGAUGGGGGGACGGAUCGCGGAAGGUUGUCCGGGUGUUGGAAGUCCCGGUCGCUGCAUUGGAGAAGGCGCUUAGGCAAAUCCGGGCGCGGAAUUCAAGGGUGUGGCGCGAGCUCCUUAGGGAGCGAAGCAAUUGGAAGUGGUUCCAAGAAAAGCCUCUAAGCUUCAGUCUAACGAUGACCGUACCGCAAACCGACACAGGUGGGCGAGAUGAGUAUUCUAAGGCGCUUGAGAGAACUCGGGAGAAGGAACUCGGCAAAUUGGUACCGUAACUUCGGGAUAAGGUACGCCCUUGUAGCUUGACUGGCUUGCGCCAGAAGGGUGAAGGGGUUGCAAUAAACUGGUGGCUGCGACUGUUUAAUAAAAACACAGCACUCUGCAAACACGAAAGUGGACGUAUAGGGUGUGACGCCUGCCCGGUGCCGGAAGAUUAAAUGAUGGGGUGCAAGCUCUUGAUUGAAGUCCCGGUAAACGGCGGCCGUAACUAUAACGGUCCUAAGGUAGCGAAAUUCCUUGUCGGGUAAGUUCCGACCUGCACGAAUGGCGUAACGAUGGCCACACUGUCUCCUCCCGAGACUCAGCGAAGUUGAAGUGUUUGUGAUGAUGCAAUCUACCCGCGGCUAGACGGAAAGACCCCAUGAACCUUUACUGUAGCUUUGCAUUGGACUUUGAACCGAUCUGUGUAGGAUAGGUGGGAGGCUAUGAAACCGGAACGCUAGUUUCGGUGGAGCCGUCCUUGAAAUACCACCCUGGUUUGUUUGAGGUUCUAACCUUGGCCCGUGAUCCGGGUCGGGGACAGUGCAUGGUAGGCAGUUUGACUGGGGCGGUCUCCUCCCAAAGCGUAACGGAGGAGUACGAAGGUACGCUAGGUACGGUCGGAAAUCGUGCUGAUAGUGCAAUGGCAUAAGCGUGCUUAACUGCGAGACCGACAAGUCGAGCAGGUGCGAAAGCAGGUCAUAGUGAUCCGGUGGUUCUGUAUGGAAGGGCCAUCGCUCAACGGAUAAAAGGUACUCUGGGGAUAACAGGCUGAUACCGCCCAAGAGUUCAUAUCGACGGCGGUGUUUGGCACCUCGAUGUCGGCUCAUCUCAUCCUGGGGCUGUAGCCGGUCCCAAGGGUAUGGCUGUUCGCCAUUUAAAGAGGUACGUGAGCUGGGUUUAAAACGUCGUGAGACAGUUUGGUCCCUAUCUGCCGUGGGCGUUGGAUAUUUGAAGGGGGCUGCUCCUAGUACGAGAGGACCGGAGUGGACGAACCUCUGGUGUACCGGUUGUCACGCCAGUGGCAUCGCCGGGUAGCUAUGUUCGGAAGAGAUAACCGCUGAAAGCAUCUAAGCGGGAAACUCGCCUUAAGAUGAGAUAUCCCUGGGGACUAGAUCCCCUUGAAGGGUCGUUCGAGACCAGGACGUUGAUAGGUCAGGUGUGUAAGCGCAGUAAUGCGUUCAGCUAACUGAUACUAAUUGCCCGUAAGGCUUGAUCCU
rnacentral:rRNA from 1 species